rnacentral:rRNA from 1 species
CUGCCCAAUGAAAAAUUUAAUGGCUGCAGUAUCAAUAACUGUACAAAGGUAGCAUAAUAAAUAGUUUUUUAAUUAAAAACUAGAAUGAAUGAUUUAAUGAAAUAUAAACUAUAUAAAAAUAAUUAAAAUUUAAAAUUAAAUUUUAAGUAAAAAUUCUUAAAUUUAAUUAAUAGACGAUAAGACCCUAUAGAAUUUUAUAAUAAAAUAUUUUUAAAAAUAAAAUAUUAUUUAAUUGGGGUAAUUUUAAAAUUAAUUAAACUUUUAAUAUAAAAACAUAAAUUAAUGAUUUAAAAAUCCUAAACUUUAGAAUUUUAAAAUAAAUUACCUUAGGGAUAACAGCUUAAUUUUUUUUUUAAGAUCAAAUUUAUAAAAAAGAUUAAGACCUCGAUGUUGAAUUAAGAUUAAAUUAAAAGCAAAAAUUUAAUAAUUUAAGUCUGUUCGACU